rnacentral:rRNA from 1 species
GAUGAACGCUGGCGGCGUGCCUAAUACAUGCAAGUCGAGCGAACAGACGAGGAGCUUGCUCCUUCGACGUUAGCGGCGGACGGGUGAGUAACACGUAGGUAACCUACCUAUAAGACUGGGAUAACUUCGGGAAACCGGAGCUAAUACCGGUAAUAUUUCGGACCGCAUGGUUUGAUAGUUAAAGAUGGCUUUUCUAUCACUUAUAGAUUGGACUUCGCCGUAUUAGCUAGUUGGUAAGGUAACGGCUUACCAAGGCAACGAUACGUAGCCGACCUGAGAGGGUGAUCGGCCACACUGGAACUGAGACACGGUCCAGACUCCUACGGGAGGCAGCAGUAGGGAAUCUUCCGCAAUGGGCGAAAGCCUGACGGAGCAACGCCGCGUGAGUGAUGAAGGUCUUCGGAUCGUAAAACUCUGUUAUUAGGGAAGAACAAACGUGUAAGUAACUGUGCACGUCUUGACGGUACCUAAUCAGAAAGCCACGGCUAACUACGUG